GUCGUGCAGAGGAGCAUGAGGACGAGGGCGAUGAUGGCGGCGACCAGCAGCCCAAGGAGGUCGAUCCCGGCCUCCUCCUGCGCCUCCUUGCUGCAGCACACCUUGCCCAUCGCGCUACUACUUACCUCAGCAGCCGCGCGCCCCUGCCGGCCGACACAACAGAUGAGGAGAGGAGAGGACGGUGGAUGGCUGGCUGGCUGGAGACUGUUAGCGUAUGUGCUUCUCUCACUCGAAAUUUUGUUAUGGUCCUUGGCUUUGAAGGCCACUGCAUGCAGGGUAGUAUGCAGUGGUUGGGGCAUCGCUAUCGCUGUCGUCGCGCCUUCCUCCGGCCAAUCCUAU
rnacentral:misc_RNA from 1 species